rnacentral:rRNA from 1 species
CAGUGGGGAAUAUUGCACAAUGGGCGCAAGCCUGAUGCAGCGACGCCGCGUGGGGGAUGACGGCCUUCGGGUUGUAAACCUCUUUCAGCAGGGACGAAGCGCAAGUGACGGUACCUGCAGAAGAAGCACCGGCCAACUACGUGCCAGCAGCCGCGGUAAUACGUAGGGUGCGAGCGUUGUCCGGAAUUACUGGGCGUAAAGAGCUCGUAGGUGGUUUGUCGCGUUGUUCGUGAAAACCGGGGGCUUAACCCUCGGCGUGCGGGCGAUACGGGCAGACUGGAGUACUGCAGGGGAGACUGGAAUUCCUGGUGUAGCGGUGGAAUGCGCAGAUAUCAGGAGGAACACCGGUGGCGAAGGCGGGUCUCUGGGCAGUAACUGACGCUGAGGAGCGAAAGCGUGGGGAGCGAACAGGAUUAGA